AAAUGAACACUCCUACCAGAAAUUGUACUUCCUGAAUAGUAGGUCUCCAAAUUUCAAGAGAAGCAUUCACUCGACUUCUCAGGAGCUCGUAUAGUAGGAGCUUAAGGAGGGACUGCAGGAGGGGCACAACAACAAGAAGGAAGAGCGAGUUGAGCUUCUGCAGCUGGAUGGAGGCAAAUAUCGUAUCGCUCGGGAC